rnacentral:rRNA from 1 species
UGGGGAAUUUUGCGCAAUGGGCGAAAGCCUGACGCAGCAACGCCGCGUGGGUGAUGAAGGUCUUCGGAUCGUAAAACCCUGUCGUCAGGGACGAAGGUCGGGACGCGAAUAGCGUGUCGGCUUGACGGUACCUGGAGAGGAAGCCCCGGCUAACUCUGUGCCAGCAGCCGCGGUAAUACAGAGGGGGCAAGCGUUAUUCGGAAUUAUUGGGCGUAAAGGGCGCGUAGGCGGUUUUUUAAGUGAGAUGUGCAAUCCCCGGGCUCAACCUGGGAACUGCAUCUCAGACUGGAAGGCUAGAGUGCUGGAGAGGGUGGUAGAAUUCCACGUGUAGCGGUGAAAUGCGUAGAGAUGUGGAGGAAUACCAGUGGCGAAGGCGGCCACCUGGACAGCAACUGACGCUGAGGCGCGAAAGUGUGGGUAGCAAACA